GGGCUUGUAGCUCAGCUUGGACAGAGCGAUCGGCUUCUAACCGAUCGGUCGAGGGUUCAAAUCCCUCCGAGUCCG
rnacentral:tRNA from 1 species